rnacentral:rRNA from 1 species
GCGGACGGGUGAGUAACGCGUGAGAAUCUGCCCUUAGGAGGGGGACAACAGCUGGAAACGGCUGCUAAUACCCCAUAUGCCGAGAGGUGAAACUUAUAUGGCCUGAGGAUGAGCUCGCGACUGAUUAGCUAGUUGGUAGGGUAAGAGCCUACCAAGGCGACGAUCAGUAGCUGGUCUGAGAGGAUGAUCAGCCACACUGGGACUGAGACACGGCCCAGACUCCUACGGGAGGCAGCAGUGGGGAAUUUUCCGCAAUGGGCGAAAGCCUGACGGAGCAACGCCGCGUGCGGGAGGACGGCCUGUGGGUUGUAAACCGCUUUUCUCAGGGAAGAAACCUGACGGUACCUGAGGAAUCAGCAUCGGCUAACUCCGUGCCAGCAGCCGCGGUAAUACGGAGGAUGCAAGCGUUAUCCGGAAUUAUUGGGCGUAAAGCGUCCGUAGGCGGUUUAACAAGUCUGCUGUUAAAGCUCGGAGCUCAACUCCGAAACAGCAGUGGAAACUGUUGAACUAGAGUGCGGUAGGGGUUGAGGGAAUUCCCAGUGUAGCGGUGAAAUGCGUAGAUAUUGGGAAGAACACCAGUGGCGAAGGCGCUCAACUGGGCCGCAACUGACGC